AUGCAUGAAUUCCUUUGUCGGAGGUCCUGCGCAUUGAUUGUCGAGCGGAGAGGAACAAGGCAGGCAUUCACUCCCAUCCCAGACUUUAUUUUUGCAGCCUUUGUUUUCUUGCUUCUUGGGACUUCUCGGGACUCAGACGCACAGAGAGACCCUCGGAAAAGUCUCCGAAAAUGCCUUCUCCGCAGAGCACGUACCCUUCGUACCUUGCGCUUUCCAUCUUCAACCUUCUCUGUUGCUGCUUUCCUCUUGGCAUCGCCGCCGUCAUCUACUCUUGCCAGGUGGACAAUGCCAACAGCUUGGGAAACGUCAACCUGGCUGCCAAAGCGUCCCGCACGGCCCGCCUUCUCAACAUUGUCGGGAUCGUCCUUGGCGUGAUCCUUAUUAUCGUUCUCGUCGUGAUUUACGUGGUCGCGUUGAAGGAGAUCCAAUGAAAAUCCUGCGGUGGAAACCUAUCUCUCCGUGCUUUGACGUGUUGGCCUUUUUUAAUACCUUCGGAGCAAUUCUCAAAGCUGUAAGCCAAUAAAGCUCCAGAUGCUUUGUAAUAAAACCCCAAUGUGUUUUGGUGUAUUUUCUUUUCCAAAGUUUACUCUAGAAUCAUGGAUACAGUUUGACGCUGUUUCAACUGCAAUGACUCAAUACUAUAGGACCUUGGAAGUUGUAGUUUGACAAGGUCUUGAGCCUCCUCAGCCAAAGGACAUUGGUGCCUCAUCAAACCAUAACAUAGAGAAGAUCUAUACGGUAAAGUUAAAGCAGUUUGACACCACUUUAACUGCCAUGGCUCAAUGGUAUAGGAUCCUGGGAGUUGUAGUUUGACAAGGUCUUUAACUGCCAUGGCUCAAUGUGAUAGGACCCUGGGAGUUGUAGUUUGACAAGGUCUUGAGCCUCCUCAGCCAAAGGAUGCUCAUGCCUCAUCAAAAAUAGCAUAGAGAAGAUCUAUACUGUAGAAUUAAUUGCCAUGGCUCAAUGCUAUAGGAACCUGGGAGUUAUAGUUUGACAAUGUCUAGAGCCCCCUCAGCCAAAGGACAUUGGUGCCACUUCAAACCAUAGCAUAGAGAAGAUCUAUAUGGUAGAAUUAAUGCAGUUUGACACUACUUUUACUGCCAUGGCUCAAUGUUAUAGGACAUUGGGAGUUGUAGUUUGACAAGGUUUUGAGUCUCCUCAGCCAAAGGAUGCUUGUGCAUCAUCAAAAAUAGCAUAGAGAAGAUCUACACUGUAGAAUAAAUUGCCAUGGCUCAAUGCUAUAGGACCCUGGGAGUUGUAGUUUGACACGGUCUUUAACUGCCAUGGCUCAAUGCGAUAAGACCCUGGGAGUUAUAGUUUGACAAGGUCUUGAGCCUCCUCAGCCAAAGGAUGCUGGUGCCUCAUCAAAAAUAGCAUAGAGAAGAUCCAUACUGUAGAAUUAAUUGCCAUGGCUCAAUGGUAUAGGACCCUUGGAGUUGUAGUUUGACAAGGUCUUGAGCCUCCUCAGCCAAAGGAUGCUCAUGCCUCAUCAAAAAUAGCAUAGAGAAGAUCUAUACAGUAAAAUUAACACAGUUUGACACCUCUUUAAUUGCCACAGCUCAAUGCUAUAGGACAUUGGGAGUUAUAGUUUGAUAAGGUUUUGAGCCUCCUCUGCCAAAGGACACUAGUGCCACUUCAAAGCUAUAUGGUAGAUGUAAUGCAGUUUGACGCCACUUUAACUGCCAUGGCUCAAUGCUAUAGGACAUUGGGAGUUGUAGUUUGACAAGGUCUUGAGCCUCCUCAGCCAAAGGAUGGUGAUGCCUCAUCAAAAAUAGCACAGAGAAGAUCUAUACUGUAGAAUUAAUUGCCAUGGCUCAAUGGUAUAGGACCCUGGGAGUUGUAGUUUGACAAGGUCUUUAACUGCCAUGGCUCAAUGCAGUAGGACCCUGGGAGUUAUAGUUUGACAAGGUCUUUAACUGCCAUGGCUCAAUGGUAUAGGACCCUGGGAGUUGUAGUUUGACAAGGUCUUGAGACUCCUCAGCCAAAGGAUGCUGGUGCCUCAUCAAACCAUAACAUAGAGAAUAGACAUGUCCAAAAAAUCGUUUUGAACCGUAUAUCGGAAUUAUUUCGGAUUGUUCUCGCUUUUUGAUACGCAUUCCAAGACAUUGUCUCACAGCGCAACCAGCAAUGUAAUUCGAACCAUUAUUGGCCCAUUCUCUAAUUGUCUCUUAAUGUUUCGUUAAUCCCCCCCCCCCAAAUUUUUUAAAAUAUAUUUUUAAAAAUAUUUUUUUUAAAAAAAAUUGUUGCCCUUGAAGUUAAGAUAAGGGACUAGGAUAAGGGAUCAGUGUUGUACCAAAACAAUCAAGGAGGGGAGGGUAGGCAAGACACCGGCCCUGAGCAAGCUGUCUGGUAAAUGGUAGGAAGUAGCUUCCUUGCCAUUCCUUCCAUAGUCAGCAGGGAGGAAUCGAAAUCCAGACAGGGAGGGGGGGAAGGGAAGGGAAAGAAGGGAACAGUUACUCAGAAUAAAGGGAAUGAAAAGUAAAUGGAAUGUUAA
ensembl:lncRNA